rnacentral:rRNA from 1 species
AACGAACGCUGGCGGCAGGCUUAACACAUGCAAGUCGAGCGGGAUCUUCGGAUCUAGUGGCGGACGGGUGAGUAACGCGUGGGAACGUGCCCUUUGGUUCGGAAUAGCCCUGGGAAACUGGGAGUAAUACCGGAUGAGCCCUUCGGGGGAAAGAUUUAUCGCCAAAGGAUCGGCCCGCGUUGGAUUAGGCAGUUGGUGGGGGAAUGGCCUACCAAGCCGACGAUCCAUAGCUGGUUUGAGAGGAUGAUCAGCCACACUGGGACUGAGACACGGCCCAGACUUCUACGGGAGGCAGCUGUGGGGAACCUUAGACAAUGGGGGGAACCCUGAUCUAUCCAUGCCGCGGGGGUGAUGAAGGCCUUAGGGUUGUGAAGCUCUUUCGUGGGGGAAGAUAAUGACUGUACCCCAAGAAGAAGCCCCGGCUAACUCCGUGCCAGCCGCCGCCGUAACAC